rnacentral:rRNA from 1 species
UACGGAGGAUGCGAGCGUUAUCCGGAUUUAUUGGGUUUAAAGGGUGCGUAGGCGGGAUGCCAAGUCAGCGGUCAAAUACGGGGGCUCAACCUGCGUCCGCCGUUGAAACUGGCGUUCUUGAGUGGGCGAGAAGUACGCGGAAUGCGUGGUGUAGCGGUGAAAUGCAUAGAUAUCACGCAGAACCCCGAUUGCGAAGGCAGCGUACCGGCGCCCAACUGACGCUGAAGCACGAAAGCGUGGGUAUCGAACAGG